rnacentral:rRNA from 1 species
GACGAACGCUGGCGGCGUGCUUAACACAUGCAAGUCGAACGGAAAGGCCCUGCUUUUGUGGGGUGCUCGAGUGGCGAACGGGUGAGUAACACGUGAGUAACCUGCCCUUGACUUUGGGAUAACUUCAGGAAACUGGGGCUAAUACCGGAUAGGAGCUCCUGUUGCAUGGUGGGGGUUGGAACGUUUCGGCGGUUGGGGAUGGACUCGCGGCUUAUCAGCUUGUUGGUGGGGUAGUGGCUUACCAAGGCUUUGACGGGUAGCCGGCCUGAGAGGGUGAACGGCCACAUUGGGACUAAGAUACGGACCAGACUCCUAAGGGAGGCAGCAGUGGGGAAUAUUGCACAAUGGGCGGAAGCCUGAUGCAGCAACGCCGCGUGCGGGAUGACGGCCUUCGGGUUGUAAAACGCUGUCGCCUGUGACGAAGCGGGAGUGACGGUAAUGGGUAAAGAAGCACCGGCUAACUACGUG